rnacentral:rRNA from 1 species
UGGGGGAAUAUUGGGCAAUGGGCGAAAGCCUGACCCAGCAACGCCGCGUGAGGGAAGAAGGUUUUCGGAUUGUAAACCUCUGUCCUUGGGGACGAAGGAAGUGACGGUACCCAAGGAGGAAGCCCCGGCUAACUACGUGCCAGCAGCCGCGGUAAUACGUAGGGGGCGAGCGUUGUCCGGAAUGACUGGGCGUAAAGAGCGCGUAGGCGGCUUGAUAAGUUAGAAGUGAAAGUCCUGGGCUUAAACUUGGGGACUGCAUCUAAUACUGGUUGACUUAGAGUACAGGAGAGGGAAGCGGAAUUCCUAGUGUAGCGGUGAAAUGCGUAGAUAUUAGGAGGAACACCAGUGGCGAAGGCGGCUUUCUGGACUGACACUGACGCUGAGGCUCGAAAGCGUGGGAGCAAACAGGAUUAGAUACCCUGGUAGU